GAUGAACGCUAGCGGCAGGCUUAAUACAUGCAAGUCGAGGGGCAGCAGGACUGUAGCAAUACAGUUGCUGGCGACCGGCAAACGGGUGCGGAACACGUACGCAAUCUACCCAGAACUGAUGAAUAGCCCUCCGAAAGGAGGAUUAAUACAUCGUAACAUAAUGAAGUGGCAUCACUUUAUUAUUAUAGCUCCGGCGGUUUUGGAUGAGCGUGCGCCNGAUUAGGUAGUUGGCGGGGUAACGGCCCGACCAAGCCUUCGAUCAGUAACUGGUGUGAGAGCACGACCAGUCACACGGGCACUGAGACACGGGCCCGACUCCUACGGGAGGCAGCAGUAAGGAAUAUUGGUCAAUGGACGCAAGUCUGAACCAGCCAUGCCGCGUGAAGGAUGAAGGUCCUCU
rnacentral:rRNA from 1 species